rnacentral:rRNA from 1 species
UUGGUCCUACGGGACGCAGCAGUAGGGAAUCUUCCACAAUGGGCGAAAGCCUGAUGGAGCAACGCCGCGUGGGUGAAGAAGGUCUUCGGAUCGUAAAACCCUGUUGUUAGAGAAGAAAGUGCGUGAGAGUAACUGUUCACGUUUCGACGGUAUCUAACCAGAAAGCCACGGCUAACUACGUGCCAGCAGCCGCGGUAAUACGUAGGUGGCGAGCGUUAUCCGGAAUGAUUGGGCGUAAAGGGUGCGCAGGCGGAAUAACAAGUCUGAAGUAAAAGGCAUUGGCUUAACCAAUGUAUGCUAUGGAA